rnacentral:lncRNA from 1 species
AGAAAUGAAAACAUGAUAUGUAACUCCCGUGCCCAGGAAAAAUAUAAGAAUACAGGCCACACAUAACUUGGAGUGAUGAUUUAUUUUAUUCCCAUUGCUGUAGAAUGUUGAUAUCCAUGGAGUAAGUUUGCUCACUAUUCUGCUUAAGGGUUAAUCUUUCUGAAACUAAGUAGGUAUGAACUCUGUAAACUGAUAUUCCUGUUAAUGUACAGGUGUUGACAAGAC